GGGUGACGUGGCGACAUGCGGGUGAUGUGGUGGCGAGUGGGUGACGUGGCGGCAUGCCGGUGAUGUGGCGGUGUGUGGGUGACGUGGCAGCAAGCAGGCGACGUGGCGGCGUGUGGGUGACGUGGCGGCGAGCGGGUGAUGUGGCACCCUGGGCGUGGGGAAAGUGGGAAGCACUGGCCUCGGCUGAGCAGCUGCCGCCGCCUGUCCCUACAUGAGCAGGAGAAUGGCUCACGGUUUGCGUGUCAGGGUCUCCCGAGGAACAGUCACUGGACGUGUGGGGAUUGCAGGCAGCUCAUUCUCAGGAACCGGCCCACGGGAUGACAGAGCCUGAAAAACCCAGAUCUACAGGGAAGACCCUCAGACUGUCUGAAGGUCGACUGCCAAAGAGGCCCCAUGUCAGGGAGGGAAAUCGGUGCAGCUCAGAGUCCACGAUUUAAAUGUCAGUCUCAUCCAAAAACACCCUCGCAGAAGGAUCCAGAGAAACGUCUGACCGAAUGUCUGGACCCCGUGGCCCAACCAAAUCUACAUGUAAAAUUAGCCAUCACGGGCCACGCAGAUGCCUCUCUGGGUGGCACCGACUGUGGCGGCCUUCACGGUUCUCUCGAGCUAGAACUUCCCAUUCACGGGCAGAGCCUCCCAGCAGGCCCACGGCCCAUGCACCGCGGCCCCACAACUGUCCUCCUGGGUGCAGGGCUUGCUCCAUGGGGACAUGUGCACCAGCAGACCCCACGAGACCGCCCACGCAUGUGCAGGCCCUGAGCGAGAGAGACCCUAGACCACAGCUGCUGCUGCGCCCGUGAGGAUGCACCCCCAGAGGAGACCUCGGACGGGGAGAGAACGGGGCAAGGGCCAGCGGGUGACAGGUUUCAUUUCUGGCUCCAAGGAGGGCCGCUGUUGCCUCCGACUUCCCAGAAGUGGCACGAACAAAAUCCUCCUCUCCCUUAAGCUGGGUGGAGCUGGGUCCACGUUGCUGCAGCUGUGAGUGUCCGGCUGUCCCCACGCGGCGUCCUGAGCGAACAUCACAUUCUGCUCAGAAGGGACAUGUCACCUCGCCAGCAUCCCCUCACAGGCAGGACACCUCGCCCUUCACCAGGUCCACCUCCUGACAAGACGUGUGGCCGGGGCCCAGGAGCGCCGCGUGGCCGACGUUUAGGUCACUUCUGCGGCAAGUCUUGCUCUCCCGGUCGGCUCCUUGGACGUCCCUCCCUGUCACAGCAGGUUGAAGUGGGCCCUGUGAGACCAUUGGUGUCCAUGUAGCAAGAGAGAAGUGUGGGCACAGACGCACAGAGGGAGAAGGCCGCGCGGGGACCGGCGCAGAGGCUGCAGCGAGGUGGGAGCAGGAGGGUGUGGCGCAGCCUUGCCAGCUGAAGGCCAGAUGUCUCUGGUGGGCCUCGCAGGCAGGGCUGGAGAAAGGUAUCAGCCGGAUCAACGGCUGCACAGCAGGCACCACAGUGAGUGGAUCUGCUCGAGCAGCGAAGUCACACCUGGCACAGCAGCUGCAGCUGGAGGCCCCACCUGGGCCAGCCUCAGGCACCCAUUGCUUCCCCAGGACGCAUCUGUCUUCUGCACAGGCCAGAUGGCUGAGCCGGAUGGGGCUGGGGGUGGAUCGCCACCGCUGCAUCUUCCAAGGACCUGGUGGGGACAGUGAGCUCUGCGGCCCUUCUGCCAUGCGGUCUUGCUUUUGAUUUAUGGCUUUUUUUAAAAAAGUAGAAGCAGCUCUGAUGUCUCCCACCAGCAUCUCCCUCCACCCCAGCCCUCACGCCACAGGGCAGGGAGUGGACAUGGGGUCUGCCAGCUCUAGUGUGUCUGUUCCAGUUGCGCACCUGGAGCUGGGAAAUGGCCCUGGGAUGCAUCCCGGGACCCACUGGGCCUGCGGUGUCAAACCUGAGCUAAAAUGGCACGGCCACCCGCCCUCCACAAGCCCCUAAGUGGAGAGCCGCAGUGAUGCUUUGGGGUUCCCAGAACCAAUGUCAGUUCAGCGCCCAUGUCCAGGAGUCCCUGAAAGGUCUAGUUCAGACCCGGUCACCGAGGCAGAAGCCCACAGGUCCCGCAGGGCAGGGCAGGGAAGAGGAGCCCACACUUUCAGGGGGCCCAGGGCCCUUUCUGAAGGGGUUUGGUAUGUAAACCGCACACAUCUGAGAACCUGAGACCUGCUGGAGGGGCUGAGACUGGUUUGAUGACUCCAUUAGACUUUUGUUAAUCUAAAACCUUCCUGCUUAUGUAGAUUAGGUAAAGAUUUGGGAGGCCUCCCGUCGGUCCUUGGAAGGAGUGCGGUGGUGGGUCGCUGAUACUACGGGUCCACGACGUCCCCUCACCUUCAGCUUCACUCCAGUUUCUGUUACUCAUAGCCAACUGCAGCCAAGAAUACGAAAGCCCAGGAGGAAAUCGCUCACGGGUUUUCAAUCGUGCCGUUCUGAGCAGCGUGGUGAACCCUCACGCCGCCGAGCUCUGUCCUUCCCGCGUCGGGGCCCUCCCUACGCCCAGCGUCUCCGUGCUGCGCACACUGCCAGCCCGCGCAGGGUCACGCCACAGGAAAAGGCAUCGCGUACGGGAUUCGGAACCACCUGGGGCUUCGGGCAUCCACUGGGGGUCUUGGAAACAGCCCCCACACCUCACGAUGAGGGGGACGACCGCGCAUGCGUAAGGCUACCCUGACUGCCGCUCGGCCUGGCCGUCCACAUGGUCACACCUCCCGCCCUCCCCUGGCAGUGGGUGAGUCCCGCCUACGGCUCUGCCUCCCGGGGUCCGUUCGUCCCGUGGUGCUCAGGCUUCCGAGGCAGUGGCCACGUUUCCCACCAGAAGGAGCCAUCACGGAGCCCUCCCCGGUGUGGAGUCCCCAUCAAUGUAUUUCUCCCAGCUGUGGUGACAGCCUUGUCCCCAGGCCCCUGCUGGGGUGGCUGGCAGGUCUAACGACAGGUCCAGCCUGACACUGCAGCCUCCCUAGGCCUCUGGAUCCUUCCCUCCAGUUACACCAAGGCAGGUGCGCCGUUUCCAGCCCUCUCGCUGGGCCACCAUGGGGCCUGUGUUCCAGGCAGCCAGACAAGCAGCUCACACCCAUCCCGCCCCCCGAGCUGCGGCCUUCGGCACAGGAGCUCUGCAUAGCGAACCCACUUCCAACGUCAGCCCAAUGCUGCGUUCUGUUCCUCCGUUACCCACACACCCUCAAUAUCCACCCCACAUGCUCACCCUGGGCCCUGAUCCUGGAACUGCUGGAGCUCCAAGACGAACGCUCCUCCCCGUGCCUGAUUCCUGGGGCAGCCUCUGCCUGCUGUGGACCGUGUGUGCUCCAGCGUGCGGAUGAGCUGCUCCAAGCUGCGCGGUACAAAAGAGCCAUGACUUUUGUUGCCCUAAAAAUGAAUUCACGGAACGAAGACAGUGCGGGAAGCAGGUGUCCUCUGACGCACCGGGCCACCCGCCGUCCCGAGCCCAGCCCGCCUUCCCUUCUCCGUGGCCUCCCUUCCAAUGGAGGCUUGGAGGGAGCCAGUCGCUGAGCCUGCCUCUGUGCACAUCCAGCUGCCACCUCACCUUCCCCUUGCCCUGGCUCAGUCCCAGGCCUUGGUUUGCAGAUGCUGCUCCCGUCCUCCCUCCCCCAGCCCAGAAGAUUCCAGCUGGGAAGGGAAGGGCGGAGAGGCCGGCAGUGUCCCUUCAGGGGAGUCCCACCCUCUGCAGGUGAUUCCCUGGUGGUCAUGGGAAUCACUGGGUCCCUCCGUCCCUGCUCCACCCUCAGCCCCUUGAGAGGAGAGAGCCCUGGGGGUCACCAUCUCCCCCGCCCACCCGCUGUCAGCUGGGGUUCCUGCCUGCCCUUCCCAGUGGCCCCUCCGAGGAAGAGGAUGUGGCAACCUCCCCCCUGGGCUUUGGGAACAAGAAGCCAAACUUGCCAUGAAAUUCUCUCCUGUCACUCAACUGCUUCCCCCUCCUGCCCGGUGUGAACCAUUCAGCAAGGCCCCGCCCUCAGGAGAGAAAGCACAGGAGAUGCUGGAGUGCUGUGAAGGAGACUGGGAGAAGAUUUUGUCAGCGGCAGCAGAGAUCCACCGCAAACCAGCCUAACCAAAGGAGGAAAGAUGCUGAUUUAUAGAACCAGGACUUGUGUAACAAGUCGAGGGCCUCGGGCACAGCUGGAUCCAGGAGUUAAAUGAAGUCAUCGUGCUCCUUCCGUGGGUGCGUGUGGCUGACUCUCCCCAUUCUCAGUGGCCACACCCUACAGCGUCACCACCACACGGCAAAUGCUGAGCCUCUGGUCCUUACGGAAACGGGGUCAGGUUCCUUUGAGCCUCUGGUCACCACAUUUUCACCACCCAUCAGUCUGUCACCUUGGUCUAUGUCUAUUUCUGCUUAAAGACACCGUAUUUAGUGUAUAGAGUUGAUUCAUUUACACUGAACUCACAGCCAACAGCCCACACAGGCCCGAGCAACGCUUCUCCGUCACACGUCACAGCUCCUGCACUCAGGAUCACUGGACAGAACCUCAGCUCUGUUCCUGAGGCCACUUUAAGCUGCAACAUCACCAACAAGAGCACAAAAAUGCGAACGACGUGACGCUAAAGAGAAAAGGAUGCACGUUUACUCCGAGAGCGGGCACAAGAAGGCGCUGCGGCCUCGCUCCCUCCCCGCCAGGGACGCGCAUGGCGACGCGGCUUCCCGAAGCUCUGUGCACGCCUGUGAAUGACCAGGAAAGACCCAGGUACUGACCUGGGGAUUACGAAUACGUUUUAGCAACUGGACAACGGCCGAGGCCAUGGCUACAGCACCCACCGCCCUCCUGCCUCUCCCAGGUCUCAGUCGGUCUCCAGCACAGCAGCUGCCGUCACACUGAGUGAAUACGUCUUCUGUGGCACACCAACGCUGCUUUAAGUUUUUUAGUUAUUGGCCAAUAUUUUCAAAGCAGAAGAUUUUGCAGUUUUUCUGGUGUCUGUAGAAGUAACAGAAAAUGUGGCUGCAUAGACUCCUGUUUCCUCACGGCAGAAAGUGGUGGACCUGAGUAAGUACUGCUGCUUUUAGAAGAAUGUGCAAAAUCCAGUUUCCCACAAUUCCCGUCCAGCCCACAUCAAACAUCCUGCCCAUAUCAAUACAUCCCUGGCUUGUGGACUUUCAUAUUUGGAAUCACUAUUACAGAGUUCUCCGACCUCUCUUCAGAUCUGCUGUUUCAGGAACAAAGUUCUGCGAUCACUACCGUAAUCUCCACCACUACCCACUCCACCACCAAUACCA